GGCGGGGCCGCCAUGUUGCCGGUGGCCGCGGGGCCGCGUCUCGGCCCAGCUCGGCGGGGGGGAAGCGGCGGCCCCGGCCCGGAGCAGCCCCAGGGCCUCUCCGCUCGGCCUGCACUGCGGCUCUGCGCCCGGGGGGACUCGUAGGCGUGCCGUGGAGCGGGGCCGGGCCUUCGGGAGCUGCCGGCACGACGCGGGGCGGCGGGGGGGGGUGUCAGACAGGACCUUUUGGGGUGUAAAACGCUAAAAUGCUGAUUUUUCAUCUGACGGCACCGGAACACCGGCUCGUGUGGCGGGGAGGCUGAGAGGAGGCACGGAGCCGGGCGGCGGGGCCUGACAGGCAGCGGUGCCGCCCGCUGGAGGGCCGCCUCAUCCCGGCGGUGGCGGCUGCCGCCUCCCCCCGGCCCCGCCGCCCUCCCGCCGCCUCGCUGGGGGCUUUUUCCCAGCCCUGGGGCUUCUCCCAGCCGGAGGUGCUGGUCACCCUGCCCUGAGCGGGGUCCCCCGGGGCAGCAGCUCUGCUGCCAGGUGCCUCGGGGUUGCCUCUGACACGAAGCACCUUCGGGGCAGGAGAAGGGCCGGGGUCUGGAGGGAGCUGGAUCCGAAAGCAGGAGCACGGGGCUGGCAGCGUGGGGUGAAAAGAAACGGCCCAUGGUGGCACCUGGAGCUCUGAGGCGUGGGUCGCUUUAACCUGUCAGCUGUGUGCUUUAAUGUGGUGUUUCUGUAGAGAAGUGGGUGGCUGCGCCGUGCAGCCCCGUCCCGUCAGCAGUUGUCCGUGCUCCAUGUGUGGUGCUGAGGAGAAGCCCCCCCCAGACCCCGUUCCUCCCCGCGGGGGCUCCCAGGUCACUGGCUGACCUGGAGGGUGUCCUGGGACAUCCCUGGGGACCGCUGUGCUGGCAGGCAGUGGGGAUGGCGGGACCUCCCAAAGCGGGCGGCCCUGCUGCCCCCCCCCCCCCCAGCCCAUCGGACGCAUUCUGAGCGGUGCUGAGCCCCCGCCUCUGCAGGGGUCACUGGGGUGGGGGCCACAUCCGUGGCAGGCAGCUGCUGGGGAUCGUGUGCCCCUGACAAACUGCCCCAGCGAAGCAGCGGGUGCUUUUCCCCAGUGUGGUAUCUGUGCUGUGCCCUAAUUUCCACACCCCGUUUUCCAAAAUUCGGGCCUUUUUUGAGUCCUUCCAGUUUCCCUGCCAUCGCACCCACUGGGUGUGCUGGUGUGGCAAGAGGCAAGCCAGCUGCUUGCCACGAUAGCCUUCGCGGCGAGGGGACGUGGUGGUGUGUCACCGCAGGUUUCUGUUUUCCGAGAGUGUUUUUGAGGAAAGGGGUGGGGGCGGCGCCUGGAACAGGCAGAGGAGCUGGCGGGGAUCUGCUGCUUCCCAAAAUCUCGGUGCAGCUCCCGGGGGAGAUAAACAAGUUAGUCACUCGGUGAGCUCAUGGCGGAGGCAUCUCGGCUUCCAUGAGAAUUUGUUGCGGGCACUUCCCGGGCUGCCGGGGCGCGAGCGUGCCCUGGUGUCAGCUCCCCGGAGGAGGCAGCAGCCGUGCGGGUGAUGGCUGGCCCCGUGCUCCUCGCCCUCGGGCAGUGCCCGUCCCUUGGUCAGUGCAGCGGCAUCAGGACGUCCCGCGGUUCGUGGUUCGCAGGGUUGUUUCUCCGACGAGCCGCCCUGCGGGGCGUGCAGCGCGGUCUCCGGAGCUCGCCGGGGUUUGCGAUCCCUCCUGUGCCCCGCAGAGCCGAGCUCCUGCUGCUGGCACGUACCCGCUGGCUCGCGUGGGCAGGGGCAGGCAGAGCUGCCGCCUCUCCCGGGUGCACCUGCUGCUUGGCCCCGGCACGUGGGACCUCGUGUGCUGGGAAAGGAAGAGCCUGGGAGCUUUCUGGGGAUUUCCCAGCGAGAGUUGGGAUCUGGGAAUUUUCUGGCCCCCCCCCCCCUUUCCUCCAGCAGCAGCUCUCACUCGCGUGCUCGUCCCGGGGUCACAAACAGUUUUAAAAAAAGCAACAGCCCACACAAUGCUCUUCCCUUCUCUAACGGGUUCUGGUGACGAGGUACCGCAUCCGGCCUGGAGGGUACAGAAUUAGCCCCUGGCCUGGGAAAGGCCCUGCCAGUCCCUGCCGGCAGCUCCCGCGCCGCGGGGCUCCGAGGUCAGCGGCCCAUCGCCGCGCGCGGAGGAAAGUGACUCCGCAUCCUACAGAUGCAUCCUCCGUCAGGCUCGCUUGUCCCUCUCUGAUGGGUCGUGCAAGAAAUCAGUCUCUGCUCCCCGCUCGCGGGAUGUCUGGGAGGUGGCGUUGCUGGUGCGGCCGCAGGCAGUGCUUUCGGUGACGUGCAGGGCACACGCGGGUUUCUGUACGUGGCUUCUGCGCUGGCAAAAAUUGGGAGAUACUUCCGCAGGUCAGGAGAGGGAAUUCACGUUUUACAGGAAACGUGGCAGUUUCCACAAGAGCAGUGAGAACAAAGGGUGGCCGAGCAGAUAGGGGACAUUCCUGGAAAUGGUCCGUAGGACAAAAAUGCUGAAAAAAGUCAAUGUGGGUGUAGGAACUGUUUCAUUUUGAUGCACGUCCAGCCCAACCUGAACGUCACUGUCCCGCCCAACUCAGCCCGAACAGCACGACUCGGUACGACCCAGCCUGGAUGAUACAGCCCAACACAACCCAACGCAACCGACCCACCUCAACCCAAAUGACCCAACAUGACACGACCCAAUGAGAAUGACCCAACCCAAUGAGAAUGACCCAAUGUAACAUGACCCAACAUAACACCACCCAACGAGAAGGACACAACCCAACCCAACACGAAUGACCCAAUGUAACACAACCCAACGAGAAGGACACAACCCAACCCAACACGAAUGACCCAAUGUAACACCACCCAACGAGAAGGACACAACCCAACCCAACACGAAUGACCCAACGUAACACAACCCAACGAGAAGGACACAACCCAACCCAACACGAAUGACCCAAUGUAACACCACCCAACGAGAAGGACACAACCCAACCCAACACGAAUGACCCAACGUAACACAACCCAACGAGAAGGACACAACCCAACACAAAUGAUGCAACCCAGCCCAACUCGACACAACCCAACAUGGGUGACACAGCACAGCAGGAUCAGAGGAAAAUCCAGAGGACCUUUUAGAAAGGUCAGGGAGAGGAUGGUCCGCUGGUCCUACCCUGGCGCUGCUGCAGGGCUGUUGUGAUGAAGUAGAAGGAGCAAACCAACCUCCACCCACCAGGACUUCCCCCCCCAAUUAGUCUGUGAACUGUGAUCCUGGUCACUGAUUUCAAGAGGAACGAGGGAUCAGAGCCCAGCAGGAAAACCUGGAGCACGCAACCGUGUUAAGAAAGCGAGCUACCACCUGAAGCAAAGCCCGUGCUGCGGCUGGGGUCCUGGCUGCGGUGUGCGAUCCUCCAAGGGCGACCGGAGCCUAGGGAGCUAUGCCGGGUCCCUCCGGGCGCAGCGGUGGGCUGCCCACGGGGCCGCUUGUGGUGUCGCGGGCUUCGCUGCUCCCGCUUUACUUCUCCCUGAGGCCAAGCUCCCACUCCCAGGAAUGCAUCACGUCCCUAUGGAAACACAAAUGCUUAUUUAUUUGACUUGUUUCAGAGUUGGGGUUUUUUUAAAUUUAAUUAAUUAAAUUUAAUUCCCCCUCUCUCUCUCUUUUUUUUUUUUUUUUUUUUUUUUUUUUUAGUUAUUCGAAGGAAGGAAGGAAGCCCAAACUCGGAUGUUUGUUUGUUCUGUCCUGGCCGAUGUUCCCUUGGUCGCGCUCCAGCGACCGAUAAACUGGCAGGGAACCGGAGCGUGGAGCACGGCAGAGCCUGGGAAAGGCCGGGACCCCGCUUCCCCCGGCCUGACGUCACGGUUUCUCUCUGAUUAGGUCAGCCUGGGGCCGCGUGCUGCCAGCUGCCUUCGCUGCCUCCGCUCCCCCUCGGACAGGCAGCGCCGUUCUCACCGGCUCACGGGACCGUUCUCGGUGGGGUGUCUGCGAGGAGAGCAUCUCCCCGCAACCCCGCUUCCCUCCACCCUGCCCUGGCGUCAUCUUCUGAGCCCCCCGCCCGCGGUGGGGCUGGGACCCACGGUUCACCCCUGGCUGUGGAGAACCCGCAAGGGACCUGGGCCGGGGUGUGAGCUGUGCGCUUCUCACAGACCUUCACCCUCUUCAUCCGGGAUGGUCCCACUCAACCGUGGGCAUCCAGCGAUGUCCGAGGCCAUCACAGACCCCCUUAUGGGCUCAACGUGGCCCGUAAGAGGCAAAUAAUUAUGGGGUAUGAUGUGCCAGGGGUGAGUGCUGGGUGGGGGAGCUGGAGGCUGGGUGGUCCUCUCGCUCCCCACUCCCCGUCGAGGGCAGGGAUGCAGUUCAAAGGAAAGGGGAAUGUGCAACGGGGGCUUGAUCAGCUCAGGAAACUUCUGAAACUCUCCUGGGAAGAGCUUCUGCCCAGGGAUGCUGGGGUGGCUCUGGGGGAGGUGGGACCCUGCCUCAUCCCCCAGGACCCCUGGGGUCAGGGAUGCAUUUGGGUGGGCUCAGGAGACGAGCCCCUGGGACCCUUGCAGGGUAAAGGACGAUGCUGGAGGUACCGGAGGGAGAGUUGUGGUGGAAAAUGCUGGAGCAAGAAGGCAACAGGGGGUUUGUGUUGGAGAUGGAGCAUUUGCUCUCAGAGGUGUUUUUCUUGCAGCAGUGGAGGGGCCCUGAAGACGCCCUUUGGGUGCUUUGGGUGUCCCCUCCUUAGGGGAGAACAGCAGGAAAUACGGGGGAGUGUCCCCUGCCACCACCACCCAGCUCCUGCUGAUGUCCUCACCCGCGAGACUUGACCUUCUCCCAGCCAAGGCAACGCAGGCGGCUCCCAGACCUCCUGCCUCGGGCCCCGCGUCCCAGCAGCUCAUCUGCCGUGGAGCAGCUUUUCCUGGGGUUCCCAGCAAAUUUCCUCAUCUGUUCCAGCAUCUCGGUGUCUUGGAGAAGUGAGAGGGAAUCGCUCAGACGGUGCGAGCCGUGCCGCCUCUCCCCGCGGAGGAGGGUGGUGGGCGCUGGGGUCUUUCCUGGGGAGCGAGCGGGGAUGCUCUGGGGGGUCCCCGGGCUCUGUGCGAGGCCAGGUCACCCCAGCGCCAUGCUGGCUCGCUGCCUGCUGGCCCGGGCGCUCGUUCCAGAGGGUAAUAUAUAGCUUCGAUGCUGCUAAUUGGAGCUCUUUCCCUACACUUCCUCCUUUCAAUCUUCCUCCGCCCUCGGCUCUGCAGGGUCAGUAAGUGAUUCGCAUUAAAGCAGAGGCUCUGCUGGUUCCCGUGCGUCUCUGCCAGGGGCUGGAAGGAGGGGGCUGCGUCAGCGGGGUGAACCCUCCAGACCCUCCGGGGAUGGGAGACCAACCCUCGCAGGUCUCCUCCGUCCAAACCUUCUCCUGCCGCGUGACGCUGCUGGCUUUCCCCGAGCCCCUGGGGUCCCCCCGCUCCUGUCUCCCCCCUACCUCAGCCCCUGCCUCUCCUCCGUCUGAUCCCCCCGCCCCGGUCUGGCCGUCAGCAGACAGCCGCUAUCGAUUUCCCUGCUUCAGCCCAGCCGUGAGGGCCCUGCGAGCGGGGCCGGGCAGCGGUGACACGUGCCACGGCAGUGCCGUCGCGUCCGCAAGCGGGGCGCGAGGGUGAUGGGGCAGCUGUCCGGGCAAAAACUGUCCCCGUCCCCCAGGUCCCUGCCAGCGCUGUGCCCGGCGUUCUGGGAGACCUGAGCGGCUUUUCCCCCACUGUGCCCUGAGCAGCCCUGAGAUCCAGCGGUGGGGAAGUGCAGCUCCUCCUCGGGGCCCGUCCGGAACCCUUCGGUGGGGAAGCAGGAAACCCUCAGCCCUCUCUGCUCUGGGGAUGAACUGUCCUUCGCUCCCUCCAGACAGACCCAGGUGGAUCCGGACGCGCUUUCCCCAGGCAGCCCGUGAUUUUCUCAAUCCCAUUCCCAGCUGGAAUCCUGCAUGUCCCCCUGGCCUGCCCGGGGACACCAGCAGCGGGGGAGAAGCUACGUCCAACACUGAGGCUGGAUCCUCGCCCUCCUUCCAGCCCGCUCUGUGAUGUCCCCUGGCUAAGAUGCUUCAGAUCGUGAUGUCUUGGAGAGCAGCGGCCAACCUCCUCCUCUGGCCGUGCCCUGGGGGUCCUCCACAUCUCCCGCAGCGUGGCAGCGGGAAGGAUCCGUCCCAAGUUACUGCAGACUGAGAAUGAGCCAUUGCACCUAUCGUAAGUGGUAAACUGAGUCAGGAACCGUGAACUGACUUAAUUUCCUGAUUUCCAUGAAUGUGAGCUUGGUGAUGUCCUCCAGAGAGGGAGGAGUUGACCGGUGUGGGCAAAGCCAAGUCCGUCCUUUGAAUUUGAUUGCCUGUGUAUUUGUGGUGGAGCAGCAGGUCCUCUCCCAGCCCGCGCUCACACCCUCCGCUCGUGGAAAAUUAAAACCCCUUCAGCCUCACAUUGCCCCUGUCAGAAAACCUUCAGCUUCCUAUUGCACCCCCUGGGAAAAUGGGGUGUCACCCCGGGGUCACCGCUUUGGCUGCCGCACAGCCCCUUUCCCCACCCGCCCCAGCUUUCCCACUGCCUGCAGCCGCGUCUGGCCCUGCCCCAGCCCCUCCACGGCCCCUCGGGUCCGGCUCAGAGCGCAGGAAUG